rnacentral:rRNA from 3 species
AAACAACUUUUAACAACGGAUCUCUUGGUUCUCGCAUCGAUGAAGAACGUAGCAAAGUGCGAUAACUAGUGUGAAUUGCAUAUUCAGUGAAUCAUCGAGUCUUUGAACGCAACUUGCGCUCAUUGGUAUUCCAAUGAGCACGCCUGUUUCAGUAUCAAA